rnacentral:rRNA from 1 species
UCGUCAGCUCGUGUCGUGAGAUGUUGGGUUAAGUCCCGCAACGAGCGCAACCCUUGCCUUUAGUUGCCAGCAUUAAGUUGGGCACUCUAGAGGGAAUGAACAGGGAUAACCUGGAGGAAGGUGGGGAUGACGUCAAAUCAUCAUGCCCCUUAUGCUUAGGGCUACACACGUGCUACAAUGGGUGGUACAGAGGGCAGCCAAGUCGUGAGGCGGAGCUAAUCCCUUAAAGCCAUUCUCAGUUCGGAUUGUAGGCUGAAACUCGCCUACAUGAAGCUGGAGUUACUAGUAAUCGCAGAUCAGAAUGCUGCGGUGAAUGCGUUCCCGGGUCUUGUACACACCGCCCGUCACACCACGGAAGUUGGGGGCGCCCGAAGCCGGAUUGCUAACCUUUUGGAAGCGUCCGUCGCACCUUCUGUGUUAAUGCUAUAACUGGGGUGAAGUCGUAACAAGGUAGCCGUA